rnacentral:tRNA from 1 species
GGAGAGAUGGCAGAGUGGUUGAAUGCAACUGUCUUGAAAACAGUCGAAGGUGAUGAGCCUUCCGUGGGUUCGAAUCCCUCUCUCUCCGCCC